CGGGACGGGUGAGUAACGCGUGGGUAACCUGCCUCAUACAGGGGGAUAACAGUUGGAAACGACUGCUAAUACCGCAUAAGCCCACGGUGCCGCAUGGCACAGAGGGAAAAGGAGCAAUCCGCUUUGAGAUGGCCUCGCGUCCGAUUAGCUAGUUGGUGAGGUAACGGCCCACCAAGGCGACGAUCGGUAGCCGGACUGAGAGGUUGAACGGCCACAUUGGGACUGAGACACGGCCCAG
rnacentral:rRNA from 1 species